ACUCAAAUGAAUAGACGGGGACCCGCACAAGCGGUGGAGUAUGUUGUUUAAUUCGAUGCUACGCGAGAAACCUUACCGACCCUUGACAUGUCGGACGCGAUUUCCAGAGAUGGAUUUCUUCAAUUCGGUUGGUCCGAACACAGAUGCUGCAUGGCUGUCGUCAGCUCGUGUCGUGAGAUGUUAGGUUAAGUCCUGCAACGAGCGCAACCCCUAUUCUUUGUUGCCAUCGGGUAAUGCCGGGCACUCUUGGAAAACUGCCCGCGUCAAGCGGGAGGAAGGCGGGGAUGAGGUCAAGUCAUCAUGGUUCUUACGGGUCGGGCUACAAACGUACUACAAUGGCGCUAACAAUGGGUCGCAAUGCCGCAAGGCAAAGCCAAUCCUUAAAGAGCGCCCCAGUUCGGAUUGUCCUCUGCAACUCGAGGGCAUGAAGUCGGAAUCGCUAGUAAUCGCUGAUCAGAAUGCAGCGGUGAAUACGUUCCCGGGUCUUGUACACACCGCCCGU
rnacentral:rRNA from 1 species